rnacentral:rRNA from 1 species
AGAGUUUGAUCCUGGCUCAGGACGAACGUUGGCGGUGCGCUUUAUGCAUGCAAGUCGAGCGAGAAGCGUUGGUUCCGUAAGGUUCCGACGUGGAAAGCGGCGAACGGGUGCGUAACACGUGAGAAACCUGCCCCCCAGACCGGGAUAGCCCAGGGAAACUUGGAUUAAUACCGGAUAUUCUCUUUGGAUCGCAUGAUCCGCUGAGGAAAUGGUCCGCUGCUGGGGGAUGGUCUCGCGGCCUAUCAGGUAGUUGGUGAGGUAACGGCUCACCAAGCCGAAGACGGGUAGCUGGUCUGAGAGGACGAUCAGCCACACUGGAACUGAGACACGGUCCAGACUCCUACGGGAGGCAGCAGCAGGGAAUAUUGCACAAUGGGCGAAAGCCUGAUGCAGCGACACCGCGUGCGGGAUGAAGGCCUUCGGGUUGUAAACCGCUGUCAGGAGGGAAGAAAAUGACGGUACCUCCAGAAGAAGGCCCGGCCAACUACGUGCCAGCGGCCGCGGUAAUACGUAGGGGCCAAACGUUGUCCGGAAUUAUUGGGCGUAAAGGGCUCGUAGGCGGUUCAACAAGUCGGUCGUGAAAGCCCGGGGCUCAACUCCGGGAUGCCGGUCGAAACUGUUGUGACUUGAGUUCGGUAGAGGUGAGUGGAAUUCUCAGUGUAGCGGUGGAAUGCGCAGAUAUUGAGAGGAACACCAUUAGCGAAGGCGGCUCACUGGGC